GGCAUCAUCAUCCCCAGUACGGCGAGUGAAGAGGGACUAGCCCAAAUUUGUAAUCUGGCUCUUUCAGAGUCCGAGUUGUAAUCUCGAGAACAGUUUUCCGUGUUGGACCUUGUAUAAGUCUGUUGGAAUAUAGCUUCGUAGAGGGUGAGAAUCCCGUACAUAACAAGGACUACCAAUGCUUUGUGAUACUGUCUCUAAGAGUCGAGUUGUUUGGGAAUGCAGCUCAAAUCGGGUGGUAAAUUCCAUCUAAGGCUAAAUAUUGGCGAGAGACCGAUAGCGAACAAGUACCGUGAGGGAAAGAUGAAAAGCACUUUGGAAAGAGAGUUAACAGUACGUGAAAUUGUUAAAAGGGAAACGAUUGAAGUCAGUCUUGUAGCUUUUCGUUCAACCGCAAGGUGUAUUCGGAUUGCAACAGGCCAGCAUCAAUUUUUGGUGUCGGAUAAGGGUAUUGGAAAUGUAGCAAUCUCGGUUGUGUUAUAGUCCUUUACUUGAUACGAUGCUAGGGAUUGAGGAAUGCAGUGAGCCUUUUGGCGGGUCUUUGGACCUUCUCACUUUGGAUGCUGGCGUAAUGGCUUUAAACGACCCGUCUUGAAACCACGGACC
rnacentral:rRNA from 1 species